rnacentral:rRNA from 1 species
AAAGAGUUUGAUCCUGGCUCAGGACGAACGCUGGCGGCGCGCCUAACACAUGCAAGUCGAACGGGGUGCGUUCGAAUGAAGUUUUCGGAUGGAAUUUGGAUGUACCUAGUGGCGAACGGGUGAGUAACACGUGAAUAACCUGCCCUGGAGUGGGGGACAACAGUUGGAAACGACUGCUAAUACCGCAUAAGCCCACAGAGCCGCAUGGCUCAGGGGGAAAAGGAGCAAUUCGCUUCAGGAUGGAUUCGCGUCCAAUUAGCUAGAUGGUGAGGUAACGGCCCACCAUGGCACUACGUGCCAGCAGCCGCGGUAAAACGUAGGUGGCAAGCGUUGUCCGGAAUUACUGGGUGUAAAGGGAGCGCAGGCGGAAGGACAAGUUGGAAGUGAAACCCACGGGCUCAACCCGUGAACUGCUUUCAAAACUGUUUUUCUUGAGUGGUGUAGAGGUAGGCGGAAUUCCCGGUGUAGCGGUGGAAUGCGUAGAUAUCGGGAGGAACACCAGUGGCGAAGGCGGCCUACUGGGCACUAACUGACGCUGAGGCUCGAAAGCAUGGGUAGCAAACAGGAUUAGAUACCCUGGUAGUCCAUGCCGUAAACGAUGAUUACUAGGUGUGGGAGGAUUGACCCCUUCCGUGCCGCAGUUAACACAAUAAGUAAUCCACCUGGGGAGUACGACCGCAAGGUUGAAACUCAAAGGAAUUGACGGGGGCCCGCACAAGCAGUGGAGUAUGCCUGGGGAGUACGACCGCAAGGUUGAAACUCAAAGGAAUUGACGGGGGCCCGCACAAGCAGUGGAGUAUGUGGAUUAAUUCGAAGCAACGCGAAGAACCUUACCAGGUCUUGACAUCGUAUGCAUAGCUCAGAGAUGAGUGAAAUCUCUUCGGAGACAUAUAGACAGGUGGUGCAUGGUUGUCGUCAGCUCGUGUCGUGAGAUGUUGGGUUAAGUCCCGCAACGAGCGCAACCCUUACUGUUAGUUGCUACGCAAGAGCACUCUAGCAGGACUGCCGUUGACAAAACGGAGGAAGGUGGGGAUGACGUCAAAUCAUCAUGCCCCUUAUGACCUGGGCCUCACACGUACUACAAUGGCUGUAAACAGAGGGAUGCAAAGCCGCGAGGUGGAGCGAACCCCUAAAAGCAGUCUUAGUUCGGAUUGUAGGCUGCAACCCGCCUACAUGAAGUCGGAAUUGCUAGUAAUCGCAGAUCAGCAUGCUGCGGUGAAUACGUUCCCGGGCCUUGUACACACCGCCCGUCACGCCAUGGGAGUCGGUAACACCCGAAGCCUGUAGUCUAACCGCAAGGAGGACGCAGUCGAAGGUGGGAUUGAUGACUGGGGUGAAGUCGUAACAAGGUAGCC